rnacentral:rRNA from 1 species
AAUAGAUACCCUGGUAGUCCACGCCGUAAACGAUGAGUGCUAAGUGUUAGAGGGUUUCCGCCCUUUAGUGCUGCAGCUAACGCAUUAAGCACUCCGCCUGGGGAGUACGGCCGCAAGGCUGAAACUCAAAGGAAUUGACGGGGGCCCGCACAAGCGGUGGAGCAUGUGGUUUAAUUCGAAGCAACGCGAAGAACCUUACCAGGCCUUGACAUCCUCUGACAACCCUAGAGAUAGGGCUUUCCCCUUCGGGGGACAGAGUGACAGGUGGUGCAUGGUUGUCGUCAGCUCGUGUCGUGAGAUGUUGGGUUAAGUCCCGCAACGAGCGCAACCCUUGAUCUUAGUUGCCAGCAUUCAGUUGGGCACUCUAAGGUGACUGCCGGUGACAAACCGGAGGAAGGUGGGGAUGACGUCAAAUCAUCAUGCCCCUUAUGACCUGGGCUACACACGUGCUACAAUGGAUGGUACAAAGGGCUGCAAACCUGCGAAGGUAAGCGAAUCCCAUAAAGCCAUUCUCAGUUCGGAUUGCAGG